CUGACAGGGACCACGACCCUUCCCACAGCCUCCCCGAGGCCCUGACCAGCUGCAGCUGCUCAGAGCACAGUCAGCCUUUGUGGAUACUGGAGAAGGAGUGAGUCCAAGGGGCAGGGAAUUAGACCCAGUGUGUCAGCCGGAUGUGCACGGGGGGCCUCACUGGGGGACCCCCGAGUCUCUUUUCUCUGCCCAGCCUGCACGUCUGCAUCACAGGAAACACCUUUGUAAAGGGAGCAACCAUUUGAGGACAGCAGGGGUUUCCCCCGUGGAAGGGCUGCCGCUAAUCUAGCUUCUACCCCGUGGGACCCCCCGCACCUAUUCCAUGCUUGCGUCCACUCCUCGCCUGUCAACCCCUUUCCCAGAUAAAGAAGCCCAUGCCUUUGAAGCCAAGCCCCUUCACUGACAGAUGCACAUGUGACCUCAGUGGAGCUGGCAGCUGGAUCUGCACCUGGACUGGAAUUCCCAGAACAGUGGGGCUGGAGAGAAGAACCUAGGAGCUUCUCAGAAGUUACUUAAAUGGAUCUUCCUCCACUUUUGGUUUUCACCACUAAAUGGGACACCAAUAGGGCAAAACAACUGCCAUGAAGUAAACCCGGUAAAGCCCCUCAUGCCUGCCACUGAAGCUUUCUAAGCAUAACAAGUGACUCUCUUCCUUUGAACGUGUACAAAUGCCCUCUAGAAGCACCCAGAACUGGUUUCUGAUGCCCAGUAAGUGAGCAAGAGAACAGGAAUACUGAGCAGGAACUAGAAAGAAGCAAGGUCAUGGGGAGAAAGGACAAGAGCAGAUGUCACCCGAUGCUGGGACCUCCAUGCACACACACUCUGACAGUGCAACGGACUCAGCUGGGAGAACGGAUAGUCCUUCAGGGCCCUUGAGGGGAGAGGAAGCACAGUGACUUGUAGUUCCUGGAAAUUUGCAAAUAUGCCUGGAGUUAUGGAAAUGUACCUCGUCUUUCUUGAGGAAGUAGCUACCCUGACCUUGUAAGAAAGCCUGACGGUGCCAUCCAUAGUUGGAUCCUGAGACUCCACCAACCCACAGUGAUGGCCGCCAGGCAUCCUUCCAGAUCUCCUGCCCCUCGCACAUGACAAGAGGAGAAAGAGAUGGCUCUCAUUAUCAGGGACUAAUUUCUUAUAGAUAAUGACCUUUUAGAAAAGAAACAGCUCAGCCUUCUCACUCUUAUACAAUGGCUUCUGAAUUCUUGGGGGAGCAACUAGGCUUAUUCCUGCUUCAAAGACAGGAAGCUGGGGGCAGAAAUGGAAGGGGACAAGAACGAAAGGGAACAUUCCCCGACUGCCCACUAUAUACUAAGCAUGCUUGGUGAAGCAAGAUGUACUCCCUCGAGGACAUUUCACAGCAAACCUUCCAGAUAAGGAAACCCAGGCCGAGAACCACCCAAGUUCACCAGCAAUCAGAUGGCAUUGCCAGGAUCCUAGCUCAAGCUCCACUCUGCAACAUGUAAAAUGGAGAAGAAAGAAGACAGUAAUAAAAAAAAGAAAUCCUUACUUGUAAAAUCAAUUUCAAAGAACCGUUCUCUGAUGUCCCCCCAAGCGCAUUCCAGUAUCCUGCUUUCUUCCCUCUGCACCACGUGCUCCUUAAACAUGUAACUCUGCCCACACGGCUAAAAGUCACCGAGUCCUCCUCUGUGGUUCUAAAUAAUAUCCUGUAGCCUAUUAAUAAACAGAUCCGUUUUAGAUAAAGUUAGUAUUCA